CACUCACACUCCACUCAACUAAAAGGAGCUUCUUCCCCUCUCCUUCCACGAGCUUCUUCUUCGGCCGCUGCCGCCGCCGCUUGCGUCGCUCUCCUCAUCGCACGAGUUUCAGUCACAUCCAAUUCGAAUAAAUUCAACAAUGGCCGCCGUGGCUUCCCCUUCCUCCAGAAACCAGACGGUGUCCUCCUCGUGCUCCUUUUCCUACCCCUUCGCUUCAUACACCUCCGCCAAUUUCGCUCUCGGAGCCUCCCCUUUGUCCCCACGCGCUUCUCCUCCUCCUUUGGCCACCAUCGGCGUUUUUCUUCCACCUCUUCGCCACCGUGUCCAACAUCGUCAUUCGUGAGAUUCUCCUCGGAGUAACCACCAGGCUCCCCCGGACAACACCCCACGGCUAUAAAGAGCUAGGUCGGAAUUUUGCAGAGCAUACUCUUUUGGUGCGGUCGACCUCAGCUGGAAGACCGGCAGUUUCGGUUCGCUCUGCGGCAGCACUGGAUAUGCUACAAGAGGAGAAUGAGGUUAUAUUAGAAAAGUUAAGAGUUGUAGAGGAAAAACGCCAAGAAGUGGAGGCCAGAGCUAGGGAGCUUGAUAAACAGGUUGCUUCUCUUAGAGAAGGUGUAUCCCUAGAAACCAAACUUCUGAGCAAGCAAGUUCUGGUGUCAGUUUAUCUUUGAAGUUUGUCAGGUUAUCUGAUGACAAACAUAAUUCAGUUUAAGUUCACAAGGUCGAAAACCGACUUUGGAAUAUCUCCAUGAAUUUUGUUGCCGCAUAAUUUUAAGUACAGCAAGGAAUAAAAUGAGAUUGCACUUAGAUUUCAUGUGAAUUGGUUACGUGAAAGGUCUAAAUGUUUCAAAAGCGACAAAGAUAAACACCAAGAAGGAAUUAUCCCAUUUAAAUAGCAGUUGAUUGUUACAUGCUUGAUGUAGCUUUGUGUAAUGUAUUGCUAUUUAAUAAGAUCCAUGCACAUUUCAUUGGUCAUUUAAUAAGAUCCAAUAUUUGUAGAAAUUCCUUCUGGAAAGCCAUUGUUUACAAUUUGGUUCUCAUUUUUCUGUCAUUUACAAAUUUGUUGAUUAUUUCAUGAACCUAGUUUCUUAACUGGAAUGCUUGGUGGUAAAAAGUAUUUUAUAGCAGGAAUCUGACAUGUUCACUUUCUCUGCAGAUUGAACCUAUUCGCAAUCUUUUUGCUGCUAUUUUCUUAGCCAGCAUUGGAACGUUGAUUUAUGUUCAUUUUCUCUGGAACCAUGUUGACAUUCUGGUAGCAUCUGGAACUCAUGUUCAUUUUCUCUGGAACCAUGUUGAUUCAUGUUCAUUUUCUCUUCUCAGCCGUGCUUCUAAUCUUCAUCUAGUUGAGGUUUAUGCUAAAAUGGUUGUGACUAUACUGAUGAAUCCAGUCUUUGAUAGUUUAACGGUUUCUAAUAAAAAACCAUCCCUGAUGUUCUUAUUAUAUAGUGAUUUUGCUUUAUCCAUUGAACCCAAAAGGCAGAAAUGGUGAUAUAGAUUGAUACUUAAUAUUGCCAGCCAAUAGGAAUUCUAAUAUUUUAUUAAUUUCAGGGUAAACUAUAUUUGCUGCUUCUUGGGACCACAGCUCUUAGUCUGGUACGAAACAUUUUUAUAUAUUUGAAUUAACAGCUACAGGGAUCCGUAACUGAUCCAUAAUUGAGGGUUAUAGUCUUGCAAAUUUUGAAAUGCUGUGAACAUGGCAAUAUACACAUAUAGCUGAUAAACUUGGUGCAAAGAAAUGGAUAGGACAAUAAAAGCUUCUCUGUCUUUCAAAGAGAUUGUUCUUUCAUUAAAAAGAAAGUUUGAAUUGAAUGUCAAUGUUAGACAAGCUUUGAUGUGGGAAAAAAAUUAUCUAUUCUUCAAUAUUGAAGUUUACCAAGAUCAAGUAUUUAAGUCUGAAAAGCGUAAAGUAUAUCAUAAGCUGCCAUCAGUUUCAAUGUUUUGAAUUCAGUGAUACUGCUAUUAAUUUAUUAUGAAUGCAUAAUCCCAUCAAUAAUUUCUCAGCUAAUUUCUGCAGGUAACAACUCCUUUACUUUGCUAAUAUGUAGAAACUAUAAUCAGAUAUUCAGUCAUGUUUUGCUACAUUUGUAAAAGUAGUUGUGUUCAUGCUUGCUACUUGAAUGGUUUGGGUAAAAGAUUGGAUUUGAUAGAAUAAGAGAAUACUAAUGUGGGUGUAAAAUUAUUUUUUAAACUGACAUCUAAUUAGGUGUUUUAUAUAGUUAAAAGCAACUUCUUUUUGAGAUAUUUGGUGUGAAAAUGAACUGUUUUUCUUUUUUCUUUUUUUAAUUUAUCUGUGAGAUCUGAUUAGAUGUAAUACAUGAAAAUUAAAUUAUUAUUCCCUAAUGUCAUCCAUUUUCAUAUCUUUUUGUUUUGUAUUAAUUUUUUGGAUUAAUUCUUCCCCCGCCCCUGUAUUAGUCAAGGGACAUGUAUUUCCUGCGAAAGCUUCUGAAUUUGAAAGGAGAUGAUGGUUUCAGAAUGAAUGAAGUGCUUGUGUCAUUGUGGUACAUAAUGGGUUUGUGGCCCUUAGCCUAUAGCAUGUGCUACUUCCUACAGGAAGGAAGUAUUUCACUCUGAAUCUGAUAUUCCCUAAAAAAUUAAUAUGGUUUGUUAAUGUUAAUUGCACUCUAAUUGCAAUGUUAAUUCAGUUAUUACUUUGCAUGCCCUUGCAAUGUUGACUAUGAUGUUCUACAGCUCAAAAAGCAAAGUUCCUGUUUGGCCCUUUCUUUUACUUUCAUGUUUUGGCGGUGCAUAUGCGCUUCUUCCUUAUUUCAUACUUUGGAAUCCACCAGCACCUCCGAUUGAAGAAACUGAGCUUAAAUCAUGGCCAUUGAUCUUUCUUGAAUCAAAAGUAACUGCAAUGAUCGGAUAUAGUAAGGUAGACAUCCUCUGCUUAGAAAGUGGAAAGCAGCGAAUAAUUUUGAUGGACUAAGAAUCUCAAGAAGCAAGUAUAUUGCCACCAUUACUAAGAAACUCAAGAAAGAAUGAAGCUAUCCAUAAAUUAGGAUAUUGAAUUCCGAUGAGUCCACUAGUAGUUACUUGUCAUCUAAUGUAUUCAGAUUGUAUUAUUGCAUGGAAAUAAUUGCUUCUUAUUAUAAAGAAAGCGCUUUGUACUCACUGGUGUGUUUUUCUAUUUGUACCAUCAAUAAAAAUUUGCAUUUCUUAAA